AUGCUGGAGUGGCAGAGCCCGGAUAACUGCAAAAGACCUAAGCCCUUUUCACAGAGGUUCAAAUCCUCUCCCCAGCU
rnacentral:tRNA from 1 species